rnacentral:lncRNA from 1 species
GGACUCAGGCUAUGCGCGUUCGACUUUAAAGAUUACAAAGGUUCUACUACGGUUGAACCGGGACUCUGGCUAUGCGCCUUCGACUCCAAAAAUUGCUAAGGUUCAACUACGGUUGAACCGGGACUCAGGCUAUGCGCCUUCGACUUCAAAAAUUGCGAAGGUUCAACUACUGUUGAACCGGGACUCAGGCUAUGCGCUUUCGACUUCAAAGAUUACAAAGGUUCAACUAUGGUUGUGCGCCUUCGACUUCAAAGAUUAAAGGUUCAACUACGGUUGAACCGGGACUGAGACUAAGAGCCCUCAACAAUAACUACGGUUUAACCGGGACUCAGGCUAUGCGCCUUCGUCUUAAAAAAUUGCGAAGGUUCAACUACGGUUGAAUCGGGACUCAGGCUAUGCGCCUUCGACUUCAAAAAUUGCGAAGGUUCAACUACUGUUGAACCGGGACUCAGGCUAUGCGCUUUCGACUUCAAAGAUUACAAAGGUUCAACUAUGGUUGUGCGCCUUCGACUUCAAAGAUUAAAGGUUCAACUACGGUUGAACCGGGACUGAGACUAAGAGCCCUCAACAAAAAUUCAACUACUGGUGAACUAGGACUUAAGCUACACGUCUUCGACACGAAAAUCACAAACUCAACCACGGGCGAAUCAAAUCCAAGAACACACGUCCCCACGGCCGUGAUUCGGGCUGCAAUUAGGCGAGGCUAAACGCCCCCACCAUUCAAGUAAGUACGACUGACU